rnacentral:rRNA from 1 species
UACGGAGGGUGCGAGCGUUGUCCGGAAUCACUGGGCGUAAAGGGCGCGUAGGCGGCGCGGGUAGUCAACGGUGAAAGCUUGGGGCUCAACCCCGAGUCGGCCGUCGAUACUCCCGUGCUUGAGCACUGUAGAGGCAGGUGGAAUUCCGGGUGUAGCGGUGGAAUGCGUAGAGAUCCGGAAGAACACCGGUGGCGAAGGCGGCCUGCUGGGCAGUAGCUGACGCUGAGGCGCGACAGCGUGGGGAGCAAACAGG